AUUGAACGCUAGCGGCAUGCCUUACACAUGCAAGUCGAACGGCAGCACGAACUUCGGUUUGGUGGCGAGUGGCGAACGGGUGAGUAAAGCAUCGGAACGUGCCUAGCAGUGGGGGAUAACUAUUCGAAAGAGUAGCUAAUACCGCAUACGAUCUAAGGAUGAAAGUGGGGGAUCUUCGGACCUCAUGCUAUUAGAGCGGCCGAUGUCAGAUUAGCUAGUUGGUGAGGUAAAAGCUCACCAAGGCGACGAUCUGUAGCUGGUCUGAGAGGACGACCAGCCACACUGGGACUGAGACACGGCCCAGACUCCUACGGGAGGCAGCAGUGGGGAAUUUUGGACAAUGGGCGAAAGCCUGAUCCAGCAAUGCCGCGUGUGUGAAGAAGGCCUUCGGGUUGUAAAGUACUUUUGUUCGGGAAGAAAAGGUUUGUGUUAAUACCAUAAGCUGAUGACGGUACCGAAAGAAUAAGCACCGGCUAACUACGUGCCAGCAGCCGCCGUAA
rnacentral:rRNA from 1 species